rnacentral:lncRNA from 1 species
AAGUCUUCUCCUGGACGUGCUAUAAGAUCACCUUCUGGAUCUAGAUCUCGGUCUGCUGAUAUAUCACCUAAGCGAAGUAGAUAAGCGGAAUACAUGUGAAGUUGGGAAAUUUACAUCCUACUUGACCGUGUUAGUACUUGUACUUUCUAGUAGCUCGAAACUUGUGUAUUAUGUGAAUCUGGGAAAAUGUGGUCAUGUUAUCAAGUUUAAAUUUGUAUCUUAAGUGUUAAACUCGCAUGCCUUUGAUGUGCUCUAAUGUUGUGUUUGGUUGGGGAGAAUGGAAUGGAAUGGAAUGAAAUGAGUAAAAAAUACUUGAAACUAAUAGAGAUAGGAAGAAAGUUUUGAAAAAAUUUGAAGGAGUGCAAA